AGUUAAUUUUAUUAUAGUUAAGAAAUUAAUUAUAGGUAUUAUUUUUAAAGUAAAAGUAAGAGUUUAAAGAUUAAAUAAUUUAAUUAUUUAUUUGUAUAAUAUUUAUAAUUAAUAAAAUUGUAAUUUUAUUAGGGGUAAUUAUAGAAAUAAAUUUAAAUUUAGAUUAAAAUUGUGCCAGCAAUUGCGGUUAAACAUUUUAAAUAAAUUAAAAAUUUUAAUGUAUUAAAAAUUAAGAAUAUAAAUAUUUAUUAAAAGUGAAAUUUAGAGUAAAAGUUUAAAGUUUUUAAAUUUAAUUUAUAAUAAAAAUUAGGAUUAGAUACCCUAUUAUAAUAAGUAUUUAUAUUUAGUAUAUUUAAUAUUAAAUAUAAAAAUAUUAAAUUUAAUGAAUAUGGUAGUAAUUAAUAAUUUUAGGGGGGCUUGAUGAUUAAAUUGAUAUUACACGAUAAGAUAUACCUAUAUUAUAAAAUUUUGUAUGAUUGUUUAAAAUUUAAGAUUUAAAUUUUAAAUUCAAAUUUUAAUUUAAAUAGGAAUUCAAAUCAAUAUUUAUUUAUAUAUAGGAUUUUAUUGAGUUACUUUAUUAUUAAGAAUAUUAAAUAAUUUAUUUUAAUAUUAUUAUCUAAUAGUAUUUAAAAUUAAAAUUAAAGUAUACUUUUAUUUGAAUUUUUUAUUAAUUAUAUACAAAUUGCCCGUCACUCUUAAUUUUGAAAGAUAAGUCGUAACAAGGUAAAUGUAUCGGAAGAUACAUUUA
rnacentral:rRNA from 1 species